rnacentral:rRNA from 1 species
UACGGAGGGUGCGAGCGUUGUCCGGAAUCACUGGGCGUAAAGGGCGCGUAGGUGGCGCGGGCAGUCAACGGUGAAAGUUCGGGGCUCAACCCUGAAUCGGCCGUCGAUACUCCCGUGCUUGAGCACUGUAGAGGCAGAUGGAAUUCCGGGUGUAGCGGUGGAAUGCGUAGAGAUCCGGAAGAACACCGGUGGCGAAGGCGGUCUGCUGGGCAGAGCUGACACUGAGGCGCGACAGCGUGGGGAGCAACAGG